rnacentral:rRNA from 1 species
UCAUGUAAUGAUUCCUACAACGUUAAUGCACCAGAUCUCAUUAGAACUCCGUAGUUAAAUGCACUUGGGAUAUAGUAGUAUUGGGAUGGGAGACUUCUCAUGAAGUCCUAGUGUUUUACAUGCU